GAAAACUAAAGAAACUGGACAUAGUUUUGCGGAAUGAGUCCUCUCUUCCCAUUUAGAGUUCCUUCUAACCAGCCAGGUUCUCGUGAAAGAUGCACUGAACAACACAGAAAAAGAGAAGAAAAAAAUUAUGAAGAAAAUGUCCGAAGAUUCAGACCAGGUCCCCAAAGAAAUGAACCGUAUGCCUACUUUCCCUUUUUCUGUAGCCUUUCUUUGUGGCCUGCCAUUCUGUUGGGAAGGGGGAGCUUUUGAGAUUGCUUUGCACUGUCUGCAGAAUGGAAUGUCUCUCCCUUAUCUAAGGGACAGUUUGCACUUGGAGCCAGGAGAAAUUGAAAGUGAGAAAGACCUUGAAAAGCCCGCUGAAAAGACCAGUUUUUGAAAAGACCAGUUACCAAAACAUGAUGCCACCUGUGAAAUGGCUGGGAUUCAAACGAACACUGAGAUUCUGCGGGGAGGAGUAUUGAAUGUUGCUUUUAAUAUAUUGCUUCGCGGGUUUUUCUCUCAGAUUCUGCCUUGAUCCCCUACUGCAACUAGCCGCUAAUAAACGUUCCUUUUGAAACAAUGCAUGUUUCAAGAGUUCUGCUUUCUUGGGAAGCUUAGCUGAGGUAGGUCCUUACACUUUGUAAGCCAUCCAGAGUCAGUGCAACAGUGAGAUGUAUGGAAUAUAAAUUUAAUAAAUAAUAAAUAAGUAGGUAAAGUUUUCAAAAUUGUCUCAAAACAUAGGAAAGAAGCUAUUUCCUACUUUUGGCUUUCCAAGAAGUUGAGCAAGAUAAGGCUGCAGUGAUACAAUCUAUCUCUGUCUUAAGUAAUUGCCAGACAAAAACCAAGCCAUGUGGACAAGGGAUAAAUUAAACCAUUGUAUUAAAAGAAAUCCUGAUGCCAAGCAUGUGCUAAAUCUUACCAAGCUGACUCUCAAAAGGCUCAAAAAAUAGUCUUUGGAAAUCUGUGAAGCACAAGCUUUCUUUUAUUCAGCAAUGUAGUUUUGGUAAUAGAGGGAAACAUAACAUAGCUUAUCCUAUGCUAUUAAGGUCUUGCAUAAAAACUUCACGUGACAUUUGGAAAGUCUCUUUGCUUCUGAAUCUCAUUUGUGACAGUCAUCUAUUCCUGAAGGCAUCGCUGAAGUAGCUUGAAUCCAAAGGCUGAAGGAUUUUGGUAUAAUUUUAAUGAUGUGGAAACAAUCACAAGGAUGCAAACUCCCUUUUUCCAAAUGGAGAAUUUAAAUAGAGCCUUAAAUGCAUUUCCCUUUCUUCUUUUGAGGAAGAGACAUGAGGUCUGACAUGCCUGAAAGCAUUCUGUUAAAUUCCUGCUUUGUGAACCACAUGUUUCAACAACAAUUUUGUACAUAGAUUUGACUACAGGAGUUUCAACUCACAUGCCAAGAAACCACACCUUUAAACUAAACUUGCUUUUAAGAGAAGUCUUUGAAGCAAUUAAAUAAACAUUUAAUUCCUCUUUUAUUACUUUUGAUUCAGACGCAAUCUGUCUAUAAGGUAAUUUUUGACAAGAUACAACUAUAACAUCCCAGUUUUCUUAAUGGUAAACAGACUAAGAACAAAAGAGAACAGAAGAAGGAAUAAUAAUAAUAGAAAAACCUAUUUUUUAAUCUACUGUAAGCAAAAAUAAUACAGUGUGUGGCAAAAUGACUAAAUGAACUCCACUUAUUUCAAGCACAGGGUAGAUGUAUAUUUCUGUUUUAUAUAUGCUUGUUUUUUUCUCUGCUCCCUUUUCUCUGUUCAUGCAGAAAAAACAGAUCAUUUCCAAGUUUUUAAAUCCGCCUUAACUUGUUUAAAAAAAUGUAAAUACUUUGCCAAGUCUUAAGAUGAUGAAAAAAUUAAGUUCAUGAGAAACUUUUCUUAUUUCUAUUUUUGAGGUAAAAGAAUAAUGCCCAGUAGGAAGUCAGGGACCAUAUUUGGAGAUAAAAGGAGAGACUGACUCAAAACAAUUUCCUAGGAGAUAAAUGAUAGUAGAUACUUUUUAAAAUGGCCAAUGUUACAGAAAAUCUGAGACCACCAGAAGAAAAACAAAACUAGCCUCAUGUUUCCAUCAUUUCCCUAGCCAAAACCAUCAUAUCAUCAUGGGACUUCAUCUAACUCAGCAUACAGCAACCCAUGAACUCAGUAAGGAAUGGGAAAAGCUAUUACCUCAGAAUAGGCAUCCACUUGGAGCACAAAGCGAUUUUGAGAUAAUACUUUGGGCACUGACAUAAUGUAACAAAUGUUAGGAGAGUAUGGUUAGUCACAAAAUAUUAUUUACCAGAAAGCACAACCGAUAAGUUCCCAGAAGUUUUCUUCCCUUCAUGCUUGCUACUACCCUGCCUUUUUUCUCAUUAAAAAGUUAUCAAUGUGCUAUAGCUUGCAUUCAGGAAUUUACUUUUUUAAAAAAAGAGGCAUGUGAACAGUUGUGUAAUUCACUACUGUUUCUGCUGCUAUCCACCAGUUAACAACUGCCAAAAAGGGAGAUAAAUCUACAGAUAUAGAAGUGUUAGCUUUCUCGUGUAUUUGAGCCAACUGCUAUCUUUUCUGGCAGAGGACAAGUAUAAAGAAGGCCUGCAACUUCUUUGAAAAAAUGUAUCAAAAUAUAUAAUUGCCCUCUGUCACAGAAGCACCUUCUUCAGUUGCUAGCUGAAUGAUGUAAGUUGCAAAUGCUGCCUUUAAGACAGUGAUGGCGAACCUUUUAGAGACCGAGUGCCCAAACUGCAACCCAAAACCCACUUAUUUAUCGCAAAGUGCCAGGACUGCAUCAGCAUUGUGGUGCCCUCAGGGGGGGCAUUGGGUGGGCGUGGCUGCAGUAGUCACGGCAGACUGGGUGAGGUGGCAUCCCCGUGGUGCCAAUGCUGCUUGCUCGCUCACUUCCUGCCCUGUCGCUUCCAAAUGCCAUGUGCUCGCUACUCUGGCGAACUCUGCUGGGGCAACGGUGUGCAUGCCCACAGAGAGGGCUCUGGGUGCCGCCUCUGGCACACAUGCCAUAGGUUCGUCACCACUGCUUUAAGACAAUAGAUGAACAUCAGAAUUAAAAGAAGAAUUGCUGCUUGUGGUUAGUAGAUCAAUUCAUCCUGGAUGUUGUCUUCUCCUGUGAAAUGCUUUGCAUUCUUGCAACUUCCAAAAUAAAAAUCUUGUAUGACACAUCCUUAUUGCUUCUGGGAUAAGUGCUAAGUCAGCUCAGGACUUAGAAUCAUAAGCUGACUUUAAACUUAGAUGAAAUGCUAUUUUAUUUUAAUUGAUUUAUUGAUUUAAAAGAUUUCUACAGCUGCCAAUCUCUUUCUCUGUCUCUCUCUUUCUCUCAUACAUGCACACAAAUACACACACAUAUAAAAAUAAACAAGAUAAACAAGUUAUAGUAAAUCCUGUAAAACAACCAACAAGUCACAAGUGUAACACAUUCAGAUGGGGGACACCAGUUAUUUCAUACCUUACAGGAUAUCAACAUCCUGGAUCCACUGUCUGAAGGGCCAUUUAGGUUUUCAAGGCCUUCCUAAAGACUAACAAGGUCAAAACUAGUCAAUCUCAGGGGAAAGACUGUUCCACAGUAUAGGUACCAUAAUGGAGGAGGCAUUCCUGUGGGUUCCAUCAGAUUAUACUGUUUCAAGAAGGGAACCUGGAUCAUGUCUCCUCUAUUAGUGUGUGGGACAUGGCAAGAAAUAACUGGAGACAGCCCCACAAAUGUUAUUGAAAUGAUGGUUAAACCAACUAACUAACCAUAUCUUGGAAUCCAAAACUCUUGAUAGUGAAACUAGAUCAAAAAACAAGUACACUGUGCUUUCUUUAGCACUUAUAGCCCUGUACAAGCAUUCUUCGACAGUAUAUAUACAUCAUAAUAGACUUUCUGUAUUUGUGAAAGGAAACCAAAUCUUUACCCCAACAAAGCUACAGCAGCUAUAUAAAUUAUAUUACUUUAGAUUGACCUAAAGCUCUUUUAUAUUACUAUCAUCAACCCACUCCUUGUCUAUGGAGAUUCUCAGUGUCUAUUUUAGUACUCAAAGAGGGCUAAUGACUAGAUGCCUAUAAGGAACAUAUAUCCUUCCAUUCUCCACCAUUCAGCCAGAACUGAAGAAGCUUCUUGGAUGAGAAGUGAAACAUCUUCAAGGAAAAACAAAAAAGUCCAUUUGGCUUUUGAAAAAGCACCUUUGGGACAAUCUACUCCUUCUUGCUUAAUAUUGUGCAAUAAUCAAUAUAUUCCUUUUCAUAGUGCCAGAAAACCACUUUACAGUUAAUACCUGCUUUCUUGUUUUGAGUAGGAUUAACAAAGGAAAACAAUUAUUUUGAAAAGUGGUCAGAGUUGAAAAGAGUAUCCUGUUUUGGUGCCAUACUCAAAUUCAAGAUCUUCCUUUCAUUCUAUAAAAGAGUGGGGCAUAAGUCAAUGUUGUAUAAAAAGAAUCCUAAGUGAACAUGUAUUUAUCACAACAAGAGGUAACUUGGAAUUGAUAGGAAAUAUUAGAACUAUAAGACUGUCAAUGAGCAAAUGUAGAAGUGACUUUGGAAACUGGGAAGAGAGUAAUUAACCAUUAAGGGAAAAGAAAUAGCAACUCAACUCUGAAAACGUGGAAAGUAUGAGAAAGAAACUCCAAAUAAUUCCUAGAUUUAUUUGAUUUCAAAUAAACUCCUUGAUUUAGUUCAGAAUAAUAUGGCUUUCCAUUUUCCAUUACUCUAUCUUACAAUAUAAUGAGCAUUCCUGAAAUCCAAGAAUUCUGUUUCUUGACCUCAUCCCCAUCAAAGGGCCAACAGAGAUUUUCUUUGAUCUGGUUUCUAACAUUCAACAUGACUACAUUCGUACCCUGAAUUUCUCCAUUAUAGUCUAUGUAAUAUGAGCUCAGCAGCAACGAGCCCAAACUUUCCAAACCUAGUUCUUACUCAGUUCUGACAUAUUAUUAAAAGUAUAAGAAGUAGUUCUUUUUAUUGAAUGAAUAUUGAUCUUUUUAAUGUGCUAUUGCUUGUUCAAAUAUGUAGUUCAUUUCUACCAAGUUUCACUAAGCCUUCCCCAAACUCCUAUCCUACAGAUUUGCUGCUUCAGAAGCUCUCAGAAUUUCCAUUUUAGUGUGUCUAUUGAUUGGAAAUCUAGGGAUCAAGAAGGCUAGAUUAGGAAAAUCUGCAGUAGGUUGAAAGGAAAUGUAAAUAGAAAAACUGCAUCUUUACACUGUAUUUCUACAGUGUAGUACAGAGUAAGAGGUAAAACCAUGGCUAAUAUGGAUCUCCAAUUAAAUUCUUUGUAUCUCUCAGUUCUACUUUGAUCCAUAAGUUGUAUAAAAUAUUCCUUGUGUUCCAUUAAAUGUUCAAAUAAGAUUAAACCCAAACUAUGCACAGAUUGUCUUAAUGCGAUUUUUUUUCCAGCUUCAUCAGACAUUGGCUCAGGAAAACAUAUGCUUACAAUGGAUGCUGCAUGUAUUGUUCCAGACACCAUUUAGGGAGACUAUAUGAUAUUACAUGUCAGCUUUCUAAAAGAUAGGCUUAUUUGUAGGAUUAUAAAAGUGAUAA